CAAGGUUGGCACCGAAACACUAUAAAUCCUUGUAUUUGUGGUGUGCUUUAUUGUUUCUCUUUAUUUCUUUAUUAUAUCCUUGCAUUCUUGCUUUAGGUAAUUAAUCUUGAACUAAAGUCUUUCUCCUCAUUCAUCAAGCUUUUAACAAAUACUUUUCAUAAGUAAUUAGUUAAGCUUAAAUUUUUUAAAACCCAAUUCACCCCCC
rnacentral:lncRNA from 1 species